UACGGGGGGGGCAAGCGUUGUUCGGAAUUACUGGGCGUAAAGGGCUCGUAGGCGGCCAACUAAGUCGGAUGUGAAAUCCCCAAGCUUAACUUGGGAACUGCAUCCGAUACUGGAUGGCUUGAAUCCGGGAGAGGGAUGCAGAAUUCCAGGUGUAGCGGUGAAAUGCGUAGAUAUCAGGAGGAACACCGAUGGCGAAGGCAGCUCGCUGGGACGGUACUGACGCUGAGGCGCGAAAGCGUGGGGAGCGAACAGG
rnacentral:rRNA from 1 species